CUCAGAACCUCAGGCUGUUGGAAGUUCCACCAUCUUGUAGCUGCUCCCAGUGGCAAAGAGCAACCAAAGAACUACAUGGGCCUCAAGAAGGUCAGCAGGAUUAAAUGAAGCAAAAAGGAUGGAGCCCUAAUUCAAUAGGAAUGAUGUGAUUAUAAGAAGAGAAAGAGACACCAAAGCACAGAGGCAAGAUGGUGUGAGGACACAAUGGGACGGUGGCAUCUGCAACUAAGGAGAGAAGCUUCUGGAUAAACCAAAUUUGCUGACCUCUUAACCUUGGACAUCCAGUCUCUAGAACAGUGAAAAAAUUAAUUUCUGUGGUUUAAA